rnacentral:rRNA from 1 species
UACGUAGGGCGCAAGCGUUGUCCGGAAUUAUUGGGCGUAAAGAGCUCGUAGGCGGUUUGUCGCGUCUGCUGUGAAAACCUAAGGCUCAACCUUGGGCUUGCAGUGGGUACGGGCAGACUAGAGUGCGGUAGGGGUGACUGGAAUUCCUGGUGUAGCGGUGGAAUGCGCAGAUAUCAGGAGGAACACCGGUGGCGAAGGCGGUGGUCUGGGCCGGCACUGACGCUGAGGAGCGAAAGCGUGGGUAGCAAACAGG